AGGACACUGAGAGGUAGAGAAAGGUGGUGGGUUUUGUUGUCUUUGAAGCUGGGGAAGAUCUUAGAGAGAGAGAGAGGAAAAAAAAAAAAAAAGGCAGUCUAAGGUAGAGGAAAACAAACAAGAACUAAACCUGUCUCUGACUUCAGCUCCAUUUUUGGGGGUUUUUGUUUGGUUUUGUUAAGGCUUUGGAAAAGUGUGAAAAGCAGGAUUACUGCCUCCCAAACACAGUAAUUGUGAAGACCAGACAUCCCUCUGACCAGGAGCAGCCACACGUUUAAGUGUGUCAGUGUCAGGAGCCCUGCAUUCAGCACAGGCCCAGGGGUGCUUGUAGAGCAUCCUCCCCUCCCUGACAGAUCCAAGUGAGGAGGCUGAGGUAAAGCCCCAAAGCAUCAGGUGAAUGUGACACUGUGCUUAGCGAAGAGGGCAAGAGGAAAAUGUUUGAUGUCCUGUUGGUCCACUGAAAGUUAAAAUUGGCAGCGAAGACAUCAAAGCAGGUGUGAGGAUGCUUCUGGAAGAUUUGCCAAGGACUCCUGUGCUCCUGUCUGAUGCUGGGAGCCAGGGCAGGGGAGAGGCUGCAAGCACAACCUGUUUAAUAUUCUCUCUGUCCCUCUGAUCUCCCCCCUACCCCGCAGAAGCAACACAUCCCCUGUUUCUGCAGAGCUUGUCCUGAGCAAUAGCAGCAUCUGUCAGGGGUUAUGGUGGCAUUAGCCUCAUGGAGCUGGGAGUUAGCAGUGCUUGGCAGAGUGACAGUUCUGCUGUACCUUACAUAAAUCUGUAUCCUGCAUAAAUCUGUCCCUGCCUGCUCUGCCAAGGUGUGUGGUCACAAUUUGUCUGAUUCUUCCUGCUGUCCAUGAGGCUUUUGAGUUUCUUAGAAGAUUGCAUCUGCUUGAGACGCUUCUCCUUCAUCUGUCUUCACACCUCCCCACUCCAUGAAGUCCUUUUCACCUGUAUCUUUUCCACCAAGUCCUAAAAGGGACAUAUCUUAAAUAUUUUAAAUAUCUUAUUUUCAAUUAAGUUCCCAUCACCUGCUCCUCAAAGGAGCUGCAGAAAUCUCCUUGUAUUCCUCUGGAAUUGAACUCCUUGAGCCUCUCUAUGGCUUUGGCACAAAACCCCAGCAGCCUCCUCCUGCUGAGUCCUGCUCUGGGCUGUGCCUGAUCCUGGGUAACUACCUUGCUCAUCAGUACUUCAUGGUAUUUUAUUGUCUCUCAUCUGCUUUUUCUGAGGCCAUAAAGUAAUAACUACGUCAGUUCUUCGCUGUCUUUCAGUGUCUAAGGAAAUUCUUCAGGAAAACGCAACUUCAAUUCAACAAAAUAUCAUUAUGUCAUCAUACUUGUUCCAUGUGUUUUCAAACAAAGCACCUAAAAAGAAAAUGUUGACCCCUUGAAAGCAUCUCUGGUCAUGUGAGUCUUGGCCUGAGCACUCUCUCAUCCCCAGCUCUGCUCGGGGACCUGCUGUUGUGACCUGCGGGGAAGGUCCAUCAUCUCCUGUGUCACUUUGUCACACCCACUUGUCACCACCUGUGUUAAGGCUGUAACAAAGCCUUAACAUUUAUGUAUAACAUUUCUGUUGGUCUGCAGGGCCAGGUAACUUGGUAGGUGUUGCCCAGGAAAAUAAAGCAGCUCCAGAGGAGCGUGUGAUCUGUCAGGUGAACUCAUUGCACCUCUCAGUGAGUCUCCACCGAGAUGGAUGUCCUCAGGUGCUGAGAUGGAAGUACUUGAGCAUAAGUGCACUUAGUCCUGGUGUUAUUUAUGAUUGUUUGGCGUCUUGUGCUGGUGAGCAGCGAAGGUGGCACACUCUUCUCGCACAGGUUGUGCAGGGGAGAAAGAAAUAAUCCCCCACUGUGUUAUAGCACACAUCCUGGGCUCUUAAAAUGGGAGUUUCUGUUUUGUCUCCAAGCCCUUCCUCUUUUGUAGGCAGACAUAAGAGCUGUAACACCGAGUGAAUGGUAUGUACUAAGUCUAUACAAUGGCUCUUUAAAAAAAAAUAAUUACAUAUGGUACAAGAGGGAGAGGAGGCCACUCCAUUCCCGUAAAUGGCCACUUAAAACGUGGAGAAUAAAUAACUGCAAUAAAUAACCCGGCACAGCUGAGCUUUAGCAUUUGGGAGCAAAUCAGAGCUCUUUGCCCAUUGUCCGCAGAGAUGCCUGGGAAAUGGGGUUGGAAGAAGAGAUUCCGCUCAGAGUUUGGG